AUUGAACGCUGGCGGAAUGCUUUACACAUGCAAGUCGAACGGCAGCACGGACUUCGGUCUGGUGGCGAGUGGCGAACGGGUGAGUAGUGUAUCGGAACGUGCCCAGUCGUGGGGGAUAACGUAGUGAAAAUUACGCUAAUACCGCAUACGAUCUAUGGAUGAAAGCGGGGGAUCGCAAGACCUCGCGCGAUUGGGGCGGCCGAUAUCAGAUUAGGUAGUUGGUGGGGUAAAGGCCCACCAAGCCAUCGAUCUGUAGCUGGUCUGAGAGGACGACCAGCCACACUGGAACUGAGACACGGUCCAGACUCCUACGGGAGGCAGCAGUGGGGAAUUUUGGACAAUGGGCGAAAGCCUGAUCCAGCCAUUCCGCGUGCAGGAUGAAGGCCCUCGGGUUGUAAACUGCUUUUGUACAGAACGAAAAGGUUUCUACUAAUACUAGGAGCUCAUGACGGUACUGUAAGAAUAAGCACCGGCUAACUACGUGCCAGCAGCCGCCGUAA
rnacentral:rRNA from 1 species